UACGUAGGGUGUGAGCGUUGUCCGGAAUCAUUGGGCGUAAAGAGCUCGUAGGCGGCCUGUCGCGUCGGAUGUGAAAACCCGGGGCUCAACCUCGGGCCUGCAUUCGAUACGGGCAGGCUGGAGUUCGGCAGGGGAGACUGGAAUUCCUGGUGUAGCGGUGAAAUGCGCAGAUAUCAGGAGGAACACCAAUGGCGAAGGCAGCACUCUGGGACGUGACUGACGCUGAGACGCGAAAGCGUGGGGAGCAAACAGG
rnacentral:rRNA from 1 species